AAAAGGAACUGCAUUUGUUUGUUUUGAUUUGUGUGCUUGUGCAGUUGAGGAGAGUGAUUUUAUGUUUUGUUUGGUAAUUGUGUUUACCGUGUUGUAUGUUUUUUUUUAAUUAUGGAUUACGUUUGUGCAUGUGUAGCGCAUCUCCUUUAAAAAAAGCAUGUGUAGUGCAUCUUUCAACAUAUGCGCUUCAUGCAACAGAACUCCGUAGGGGUUAAAGCUCAUAUAUCGGAUGUAUCAAAUAGUACAAAAAAAACGGAGAACUCAUCAGUGCUUUGAAAACCAGAUGAAGUGUGGCGGUAUGUGUUAUCGUCGGCUAUGAAUUCUUGAUGUCGGUGUAGUAUAUACCCAAAUGAAGUUGUAAAUAUGAGAAACAGAGUGGUUCUGUAAAUAGUUAUAGUGUAAGUAGGUGAAAGCAUAUUAAUAUGUACGCACACUUGUGCAAGAUGAUGAAGCAGACAAUAAAAUGCCAUGUAGAUAUGAAACAAAGUUAGUUUUUCCAGUGUCAGUAAUUAUUGUUCGUUUGUAUUAUUUGCUAACUUACAAAAACAUGAAAAAUUCUCAAGAAAAAGCCUAUUAAUGAUAACAAUGGUCAAUGAUCGUCAAUUUGAUUCAUGAUUGACAUAGCGAGAAAGAUAGAACAUACCAUUGUGAAAGAAGGCAAUCUCUACAAAAAAAGUAAAAAAAAAUAAAUAAAAAGAAAGAAAAUAUUGCAUAAUAGAAAUUCAAAUUAACACAGAGCUUUUUGAAAAACUAUCGAGCAUCCGGUGACGGUGAGGAACAGGAGAACUGAUGGCCUGCAAGAUCUGAACAAUCUCUGCCAUUGUAGGCAAAUUUGAAGGAAUCUGAGAAGUACAGACAAGAGAAAGUUUCAGAAAAGGCAAAACCUCAUCCUCAGAGUAUUCUUCCUCCAUUAUAGGAUCAAUACACUCCAACACAUUCCCUUGUUCUAACAAAACUCGAACAUGAUCGCUUAGUAUCACAAAGCUGUCUUCACCAUACUCCAUGAGUCUCCGACCAGUCAGGAGUUCGAGUAUCAGAACUCCAAACCCGUAAACAUCGCAUUUCUCGUUGACCCUUUAGUUCUGAAACUCUAGCUCAGGCGCUACGUAACCUAAGCAUUCUGAAACCAGUUGGUGUUCAUUGUGUUCCCGUCUUGUGUUGUUAGAAGACGAGCUAGGAACUUGUUGUGCAGCUCUAGCGUCCAAAUUACACGAGGUUUUUGUGAGCUGUCGUGUCAUCGUUUUCAUUUCCUCUUUCGUCUUCUUCCACUUCAAGAUGAUCUUUACAAAAUGCUCUUCAUCUUCUUAACUUAAUUUUCCUCACCACAUGUUGCCAUCUGUUCUUGAGCUCCUCAAUUCGAACUGGUUUAAGGAGAUAGUCGCAGGCAACCAUCACAUACAUUAGAUCGCUAUGCGCAAGUAACAGUGCAAGAUAUAAUUAAAAAGAUCAAAACAUUAUAAAAAGAGAUCAAAACAUUCUAUCUUGGAAACAUGAAAAUAAUCAAACAGAAACUUAAUAGGUCAUACUAAUGACAGUUAAGUCCAUUUCAAGAUCGCUGAUCACGAGAUCAAACUUGUUCCUGUUAUCCCUCAGCAACUCCAGUGCGGUCUGUGCCUUAUUCGCUGUUGUGACUGCACAUAUAUUACCUAAAAGUCUGUCUUUAUACAGAGCAAGAUAAUCAGUCACAAAGGACAAGAUAAUCA